rnacentral:rRNA from 1 species
UACGUAGGGGGCUAGCGUUGUCCGGAUUUAUUGGGCGUAAAGCGCGUGUAGGCGGCCAGGUAGGUCCGUUGUGAAAACUCGAGGCUCAACCUCGAGACGUCGGCGGAAACCCUCUGGCUAGAGUCCGGAAGAGGAGAGUGGAAUUCCUGGUGUAGCGGUGAAAUGCGCAGAUAUCAGGAAGAACACCCGUGGCGAAGGCGGCUCUCUGGAACGCAACUGACGCUGAGACGCGAAAGCGUGGGGAGCAAACAGG